rnacentral:misc_RNA from 1 species
UUUCCGUAGGUGAACCUGCGGAAGGAUCAUUGUCGAUGCCUGCCCCACGGAAAGACCUGUGAACAUGUGAUGCCCGCAAGGGCCCAUGAGGGGUGGUCUUGGGGUAUGACCUCCAUGGCCGCCUCUCGCUUGUUAGGGGUUGCUCUCGACACAUUGUCUCGUGGCCUCCUAGCUAACAACCAACUCCGGGCGCGGAUGGCGCCAAGGAAUCUCCAUGGAAGGGUGCAUAAUCCCAACAUUGUUGGGUGGUUUGCCUCUAUAUUCAAAAAACGACUCUCGGCAACGGAUAUCUCGGCUCUCGCAUCGAUGAAGAACGCAGC